GAUGAACGCUAGCGGGAGGCCUAACACAUGCAAGCCGAGCGGUAUUGUUUCUUCGGAAAUGAGAGAGCGGCGUACGGGUGCGGAACACGUGUGCAACCUGCCUUUAUCUGGGGGAUAGCCUUUCGAAAGGAAGAUUAAUACUCCAUAAUAUAUUGAUUGGCAUCAAUUAAUAUUGAAAGCUCCGGCGGAUAGAGAUGGGCACGCGCAAGAUUAGCUAGUUGGUGAGGUAACGGCUCACCAAGGCGAUGAUCUUUAGGGGGCCUGAGAGGGUGAUCCCCCACACUGGUACUGAGACACGGACCAGACUCCUACGGGAGGCAGCAGUGAGGAAUAUUGGUCAAUGGGUGCAAGCCUGAACCAGCCAUCCCGCGUGAAGGACGACUGCCCUAUGGGUUGUAAACUUCUUUUGUAUAGGGAUAAACCUACCCUCGUGAGGGUAGCUGAAGGUACUAUACGAAUAAGCACCGGCUAACUCCGUGCCAGCAGCCGCGGUAAUACGGAGGGUGCAAGCGUUAUCCGGAUUUAUUGGGUUUAAAGGGUCCGUAGGCGGACUUAUAAGUCAGUGGUGAAAGCCUGUCGCUUAACGAUAGAACUGCCAUUGAUACUGUAAGUCUUGAGUAUAUUUGAGGUAGCUGGAAUAAGUAGUGUAGCGGUGAAAUGCAUAGAUAUUACUUAGAACACCAAUUGCGAAGGCAGGUUACCAAGAUAUAACUGACGCUGAGGGACGAAAGCGUGGGGAGCGAACAGGAUUAGAUACCCUGGUAGUCCACGCCGUAAACGAUGCUAACUCGUUUUUGGGCUUUAGGGUUCAGAGACCAAGCGAAAGUGAUAAGUUAGCCACCUGGGGAGUACGCUCGCAGGAGUGAAACUCAAAGGAAUUGACGGGGGCCCGCACAAGCGGUGGAUUAUGUGGUUUAAUUCGAUGAUACGCGAGGAACCUUACCAAGACUUAAAUGGGAAUUGACAGCUUUAGAAAUAGAGCUUUCUUCGGACAAUUUUCAAGGUGCUGCAUGGUUGUCGUCAGCUCGUGCCGUGAGGUGUUAGGUUAAGUCCUGCAACGAGCGCAACCCCUGUCACUAGUUGCCAUCAUUCAGUUGGGGACUCUAGUGAGACUGCCUACGCAAGUAGAGAGGAAGGCGGGGAUGACGUCAAAUCAUCACGGCCCUUACGUCUUGGGCCACACACGUAAUACAAUGGCCGGUACAGAGGGCAGCUACACAGCGAUGUGAUGCAAAUCUCGAAAGCCGGUCUCAGUUCGGAUUGGAGUCUGCAACUCGACUCUAUGAAGCUGGAAUCGCUAGUAAUCGCGCAUCAGCCAUGGCGCGGUGAAUACGUUCCCGGGCCU
rnacentral:rRNA from 1 species